rnacentral:rRNA from 1 species
UACGAAGGGGGCGAGCGUUGUUCGGAUUUACUGGGCGUAAAGGGCGCGCAGGCGGCUCAUUUUGUCAGGCGUGAAAGCCCCGGGCUUAACCUGGGAGCUGCGCUUGAGACGGGUGGGCUAGAGAUCGGGAGAGGAGAGUGGAAUUCCCAGUGUAGAGGUGAAAUUCGUAGAUAUUGGGAAGAACACCGGUGGCGAAGGCGGCCCUCUGGUCCAGUACUGACACUCAAGUGCGAAAGCGUGGGGAGCAAACAGG